CGACCGGCGCACGGGUGAGUAACACGUAUGAAACCUGCCCGUAGCAGGGGGAUAAGCGGAAGAAAUUCCGUCUAAUACGGCAUAAUGCAUCGACGGGACAUCCUGUUGGUGCCAAAGGUUGAUUCCGGUGGCGGAUGGGCAUGCGUCGCAUUAGCUAGUCGGCGGGGUAACGGCCCACCGAGGCGACGAUGCGUAGGGGUUCUGAGAGGAAGGCCCCCCACACUGGUACUGAGACACGGACCAGACUCCUACGGAAGGCAGCAG
rnacentral:rRNA from 1 species